UCAGGACGAACGCUGGCGGCGUGCCUAAUACAUGCAAGUCGAACGGUCUUUCUAUGGAAGCUUGCUUCCACUGAGAAGAUAGUGGCGAACGGGUGAGUAACACGUGGGUAACCUGCCCAUAAGAGGGGGAUAACAUCCGGAAACGGGUGCUAAUACCGCAUAGUUUUCUUGAUCGCAUGAUUGAGAAAGGAAAGACGGCCUUUGUGCUGUCGCUUAUGGAUGGACCCGCGGCGUAUUAGUUAGUUGGUGAGGUAACGGCUCACCAAGACGAUGAUACGUAGCCGACCUGAGAGGGUGAUCGGCCACAUUGGGACUGAGACACGGCCCAAACUCCUACGGGAGGCAGCAGUAGGGAAUCUUCCGCAAUGGACGAAAGUCUGACGGGGCAACGCCGCGUGAGUGAAGAAAAGGUUUUCGGAUCGUAAAACUCCGUUGUCAGAGAAGAACAAGUUGGAGAGUAACUGCUCCAGCCUUGACGGUAUCUGACCAGAAAGCCACGGCUAACUACGUGCCAGCAGCCGC
rnacentral:rRNA from 1 species